GGGGAAUCUUAGACAAUGGGGGAAACCCUGAUCUAGCCAUGCCGCGUGAUCGAUGAAGGCCUUAGGGUUGUAAAGAUCUUUCAGGUGGGAAGAUAAUGACUGUACCACCAGAAGAAGCCCCGGCUAACUCCGUGCCAGCAGCCGCGGUAAUACGGAGGGGGCUAGCGUUGUUCGGAAUUACUGGGCGUAAAGCGCACGUAGGCGGAUUGGAAAGUUGGGGGUGAAAUCCCGGGGCUCAACCCCGGAACUGCCUUCAAAACUCCCAGUCUUGAGUUCGAGAGAGGUGAGUGGAAUUCCGAGUGUAGAGGUGAAAUUCGUAGAUAUUCGGAGGAACACCAGUGGCGAAGGCGGCUCACUGGCUCGAUACUGACGCUGAGGGGCGAAAGCGUGGGGAGCAAAC
rnacentral:rRNA from 1 species